rnacentral:lncRNA from 1 species
GAACAACUAUGGCUCCAGGAGGUAGAUGGCAAGUCCUAUCAAGAAGGCCAGAGGGGACAUCAAAAUCUGUUUCUUCUUUCCAAGAAGCUUACAAAUUCCUUGAAAACGGAAUCUGGUUCUUUGAAAGGGUCUUUCAAUACGGUUGUGAUGCUAUUUGAACACCUACCCAGAAUUCAACAGAAAGGGAUAAAAAAGCAGAAGGAAUCAGACCGCAAGGAUGAGACUACCUGACAGAAAACAGUUCCACUUCUAAUGUUUUGGAUCCACCAGAUCCCUGAAAUUUGGAAAAGAGUUGAACUGAAGCAGAAGUUUCCACUGGCUUUGAGUAAAGGUUGGCAGCAGUCACGAGGCCUCCAUCCCUCCCAUUCUCUUGGCUUCCAUCCAUAUUGUGCCAAGCAGAGCAUCAACAGGAUAUGGAGUCAUCUUCCGUGGUCCCAGCUGGCUUUGAUUGUGCUAGGAUGACUUGGCUAUUGCAGAUGCUAGACUGAAAGCGUGUCUCAACUUCACCUCUUUAAUGCAAUGCUGUUUACAUUUGCCCAAUGCUUCCCCCUGCUUUGGAUCAUUUAAAC